GCGGUAAUACCGGCAGAACCACUCGCGCCCAUGAAUAUUGGUUUUAAAGAGGCCGUAAGAGGCCUUUUAAGUCCUCUCUGAAAUCUUGGGGCUCAACCUCAAGGCGUUCAGUAGAUUUUGUCACGCUCGAGACCCGGGGAGGUCAGGGGUACUUUCUCAGUAUCAGUAAAAUCAGUUGAUCUUUUAAGGACCACCAGUGGGGAAGGCGCGUGACCAAAACACGUCUACCACUAAGGGAUGAAGGGCAGGAGAACAAAUGGGAUUAGAUACCCGAGUACCCCUAGCAGUAAAUCACGCAGACUUUGGUGUUGCUUGGCUUCGGUUCCCGGCAGUGCUGUAGCGUAGGUGUUAAGUUAUCCCCCUGGGGAGUACGGCCUCAAGGUCAAACUUAAAGGAA
rnacentral:rRNA from 1 species